rnacentral:rRNA from 1 species
CCUACGGGGGGCAGCAGUGGGGAAUAUUGGACAAUGGGGGCAACCCUGAUCCAGCCAUGCCGCGUGUGUGAAGAAGGCCCUCGGGUUGUAAAGCACUUUCAGUGAGGAAGAACGCCUGGUGGUUAAUACCCAUCAGGAAAGACAUCACUCACAGAAGAAGCACCGGCUAACUCCGUGCCAGCAGCCGCGGUAAUACGGAGGGUGCGAGCGUUAAUCGGAAUUACUGGGCGUAAAGCGCGCGUAGGUGGCUUGAUAAGCCGGUUGUGAAAGCCCCGGGCUCAACCUGGGAACGGCAUCCGGGACUGUGAGGCUAGAGGGCAGGAGAGGGAGGUAGACACCCCGGUGGAGCGGUGAAAUGCGUAGAGAUCUGGAAGAAGAGCAGUGACGAAGGCGGCCUUCUAGACUGUCACUGACACUGAGGUGCGAGUGCGUGGGUACCCCACCGGAUCAGAUACACUAGUAGUA